rnacentral:rRNA from 1 species
UACAAUGGAGAGUUUGAUCCUGGCUCAGGAUGAACGCUAGCGGCAGGCCUAAUACAUGCAAGUCGAACGGGAUCCGCCAGCUUGCUGGCGGUGAGAGUGGCGCACGGGUGCGUAACGCGUGAGCAACCUGCCCGUCCCAGGGGGAUAGCCCCUCGAAAGAGGGAUUAACACCGCAUGACGUUGAAUCGCGGCAUCGUGAUUCGACCAAAUAUUUAUAGGGGACGGAUGGGCUCGCGUGGCAUUAGUUAGUUGGUGGGGUAACGGCCCACCAAGACGAUGAUGCCUAGGGGCUCUGAGAGGAGAAUCCCCCACACUGGUACUGAGACACGGACCAGACUCCUACGGGAGGCAGCAGUAAGGAAUAUUGGUCAAUGGGCGGGAGCCUGAACCAGCCAUGCCGCGUGCAGGAGGACUGCCCUAUGGGUUGUAAACUGCUUUUGCGAGGGAACAAACGGCGGUACGCGUACCGUUUUGAGUGUACCUUGAGAAUAAGGAUCGGCUAACUCCGUGCCAGCAGCCGCGGUAAUACGGAGGAUCCGAGCGUUAUCCGGAUUUAUUGGGUUUAAAGGGUGCGUAGGCGGCGUGCUAAGUCAGGGGUGAAAGACGGUGGCUCAACCAUCGCAGUGCCUUUGAUACUGGUGCGCUUGAAUGCGGAUGAGGUAGGCGGAAUGUGGCAAGUAGCGGUGAAAUGCAUAGAUAUGCCACAGAACACCGAUUGCGAAGGCAGCUUACCAAGGCGCGAUUGACGCUGAUGCACGAAAGCGUGGGGAUCGAACAGGAUUAGAUACCCUGGUAGUCCACGCCCUAAACGAUGAUGACUCGGUGUCGGCGAUAGAAUGCCGGCGCCCAAGCGAAAGCGUUAAGUCAUCCACCUGGGGAGUACGCCCGCAAGGGUGAAACUCAAAGGAAUUGACGGGGGCCCGCACAAGCGGAGGAGCAUGUGGUUUAAUUCGAUGAUACGCGAGGAACCUUACCCGGGCUUGAAAGUUACUGACGCAGCCAGAGAUGGCUGUUCCCUUCGGGGCAGGAAACUAGGUGCUGCAUGGCUGUCGUCAGCUCGUGCCGUGAGGUGUUGGGUUAAGUCCCGCAACGAGCGCAACCCCUGUGGAUAGUUGCCAGCAUGUAGUGGUGGGGACUCUAUCCAGACUGCCUGUGCAAACAGUGAGGAAGGCGGGGACGACGUCAAGUCAUCAUGGCCCUUACGUCCGGGGCUACACACGUGCUACAAUGGGCGGUACAGCGGGCAGCCACCUGGCAACAGGGCGCCAAUCCCGCAAAGCCGUUCACAGUUCGGAUCGGGGCCUGCAACUCGGCCCCGUGAAGUUGGAUUCGCUAGUAAUCGCGUAUCAGCAAUGACGCGGUGAAUACGUUCCCGGGCCUUGUACACACCGCCCGUCAAGCCAUGAAAGCCGGGGGUGCCUGAAGCAUGUGACCGCAAGGAGCGUGUCAGGGCAAAACUGGUAAUUGGGGCUAAGUCGUAACAAGGUAGCCGUACCGGAAGGUGCGGCUGGAAUACCUCCUUUCUA